GGCUUGGUGACUGAGUGGUAAAGUAUUUGGCUUCUAAACCAGGGGUCUUGGGUUCAAAUCUUAGUGAAGACA
rnacentral:tRNA from 1 species